rnacentral:rRNA from 1 species
CGCGGCCUAUCAGCUUGUUGGUGAGGUAAUGGCUCACCAAGGCAACGACGGGUAGCCGGCCUGAGAGGGUGACCGGCCACACUGGGACUGAGACACGGCCCAGACUCCUACGGGAGGCAGCAGUGGGGAAUAUUGGACAAUGGGCGAAAGCCUGAUCCAGCAACGCCGCGUGAGGGAUGACGGCCUUCGGGUUGUAAACCUCUUUCAGUAGGGACGAAGCGAAAGUGACGGUACCUACAGAAGAAGGACCGGCCAACUACGUGCCAGCAGCCGCGGUAAUACGUAGGGUCCGAGCGUUGUCCGGAAUUAUUGGGCGUAAAGGGCUCGUAGGCGGUUUGUCACGUCGGGAGUGAAAACUCAGGGCUCAACCCUGAGCGUGCUUCCGAUACGGGCAGGCUAGAGGUAUGCAGGGGAGAACGGAAUUCCUGGUGUAGCGGUGGAAUGCGCAGAUAUCAGGAGGAACACCGGUGGCGAAGGCGGUUCUCUGGGCAUUACCUGACGCUGAGGAGCGAAAGCAUGGGGAGCGAACAGGAUUAGAUACCCUGGUAGUCCAUGCCGUAAACGGUGGGCGCUAGGUGUGGGGACCUUCCACGGUCUCUGUGCCGCAGCUAACGCAUUAAGCGCCCCGCCUGGGGAGUACGGA